GCCUCCUAUAUAUAGAUAAUGAGAGGGAACAACUUCAGCUCAGUUUGAUGAAAUACUGUGCUGGUCAGAAACACACUUCUUACAUUUACAGCUAAAAACGAAUAAUAUAUUUGCACUUUAUAUUAGGCCUUAGCAAAGUCCUCCCACCAAAUAGUGUCACAAAAACAGAAUAACUAGAAAAAUUGCUAGGCCUACACAUUGAGGUGUGCUACAAGAUAACUGGUAACUCUGUAAACAGGAGUAGGUGCAUCACCGGUCACUGAGCUGGCAAGCUAAAGUUAGCUAGUUAGUCACAUAAAUGUACGUUCAGCCUGAUGAUUAUUUAUCUUACGAAGUCAGCAUGGCUUAACAUAGUUUAUUUCGUUUUUGACCUCGACAUUGUUGCUGGAUAGAUACUUUCAUACCUAACAUGCUGGCGCUGCUAGCUAGCUAAUGCUAUAACGGCGCUAGCUAACCUCAUAUCUGGAUGCCUCACUCUAGUUCCCGAGAGAGCAGCAUACUGGCCCUCCAUUCCCAAACCUGAAGCCCCCUGUCCCCAGCAAGAAAGACCAGGAAAAAGUGCUAGCUUAAGACCUGCUCGGUGGGUGACAGGUAACCGUCUUUCCACCAAGAUGGGCCAGGCCUGGAGUGGGUGACAGGUAACUGUCUUUCCACCAAGAUGGGCCAGGCCUGGAGUGGGUGACAGGUAACCCUCUUUCAACCAAGCUGGGCCAGGCCUGGAGUGGCACGCUGGAACUUCCAGAGGCUUGUAGACCUGAAGCAGUGUGAUGUGGUCCAGAUCUGACACCCCUAUUAGCUCAACCACAGUCUUCACAGCUGCAGUCGUCUGCCCCUGCAUCUGCUACACCGGCCACGACAGGUGAUACAGAUCUGCCACCCCCAGCAGUUCAGCUGCAGUCACAGCAGUCCUCUGCUUAAUUUACCGACUGCACCAGGUCCUACUACACUGGCCGUUAAGGAAGAAACUAUUUUUUACGAUACCCAGAUGAAUACAGAUCUGCCAUGUACUCCACCACUGCCUGACAGCCUCACCCAGAAGUGCAUACACACGGGGCCUAGCAAGACUGACAAAGCAGAGAUGGGUGGCUGACAAGGAAAAAUAAAACAACAUGCACUCAAAUACAUUAUCCACAAUGUAAAUAAGUUGUAAUUACUUGUUCAUUUAAUGUUUGGCCCAUUUUAUUUUAGGAUUGGAUAGAUCUACUCCUUCAUAUCCAUUGUCAAUAUCUACAUAAUUACUCUAAAUAUCUAUCAAAUCAAAGUGUGAUUGAUCAUUUUGUAAAAGGCUAUGGCUUAAUGUUUAGUUUGCGAAAAUUCUGUGUGCUUUUUUCUGAGUUGAAAAACAUGUCUCCCUCUCACACACACAUUAGACCCAAUGUAAAUAAAUUGUAAUAACUUGUUUAUUUUAUGUAUGCUACAUUUUAUUUGAGGAAAAUAUCUGCAAUAAACUACAUUCAGUUAAAUCAAA